rnacentral:rRNA from 1 species
UAACCGUAAAGGGAGGCAAGGCGCCCAAGGUGCGGUCCGAUGAUUGGGGUG